ACUAUUUUGGCAGAUAAGUGUGAUGGAUUUAGAAUCUGUUUAUGUAGAAUAUUAAUCUAUAAGUAGUA
rnacentral:tRNA from 1 species